rnacentral:rRNA from 1 species
CCGACGGUGAGGGGUGAAAGCUGGGGGCACGAACCGGAUUAGAUACCCGGGUAGUCCCAGCCGUAAACGAUGCUCGCUAGGUGUCAGGCAUGGCGCGACCGUGUCUGGUGCCGCAGGGAGGCCGUGAAGCGAGCCACCUGGGAAGUACGGCCGCAAGGCUGAAACUUAAAGGAAUUGGCGGGGGAGCACAACAACGGGUGGAGCCUGCGGUUUAAUUGGACUCAACGCCGGACAACUCACCGGGGGCGACAGCAAUAUGUAGGCCAAGCUGAAGACUUUGCCUGAAUCGCUGAGAGGAGGUGCAUGGCCGUCGCCAGUUCGUACUG